CUGACAUGUGUGCGACUCAACGGGCGAGUAAACCCGGAAGCCAUAAGGAAGCUGAUUGGUGGGAUCCCUCUGAGGGGUGCAACGCAGAUCGACCUUGAUCUUCUGAGAAGGGUUCGAGUGUGAGCAUACCUAUCGAGACUCGAAAGAUGGUGAACUAUGGCUGAGCGGGGCAAAGCCAGAGGAAACUCUGGUGGAGGCCUGCAGCGAUACUGACGUGGAAAUCGUUUGUCUUACUUGGGUAUAGGGGCGAAAGACUAAUCGAACAGUCUAGUAGCUGG
rnacentral:rRNA from 1 species